UAAGAUGAUGUUUUAGUUGUAAUGCACAU
rnacentral:piRNA from 1 species